CUCGGCGGCGCGGCCCCGACGGCGGAGCAGCCACCCCGGGCUUCCUCACCGGGCGGAAGGCUGAGAGGAAGAGAGGGCGUGAGGGGCGGACGACUACUUUUGUCUUUCUUUCUUUAGACUAAAAAAGUUAUUUUCGAGACAGGAGGCGGCAGGAGAGAGGAAGAGACGAGCGAUGGCGGCCUGGUCACAUCGCUCGGACCUCCCCAGCUGCCUCCGCCUCCAGCUCCGCAGCAUUCGAAGAUCUCAAUAGCUGCAUUUCCAGCUCCGAGAGGCGAAGAGAUGCAAGCGCCGUGCAGCACCCUUUAUAGUGCCACGAAAAGGAAGUGGCGUAGCUGGAGCGUGAUGGCCGACUCCAGCCAAUCCGAAUAUCGCACCAUUGUGACGCAAGCCGGUUCGGAGCCGAAAGGGGCGGGAAAAGAGUUCAGGAGGCGGGUCCAGAGAUAGGGAAGAGAGGGAGGAGCUGACGUAAUCCGCUUGUAAACAAAUAAACCCGGAGUGGCGGCUGGAGACCCAGUUGCUUGUGUCGAGGGAGGGAGGGAGGGAACAGAGGGUGCGCGUGUGAAAGCUCCGCCCCCAGCCCUAGCUCCUCCUUCCCGCUUCAGCAGGUCCAGGCUCUGCGCCAGUGCAUCCUUCUCCAAGAGUGCGCUGCCUGGGCCCGCUUGCCCUGGAGUGUAAGUGCUGGGUAAAUAAGAACCGCCUGGCGCAGGCUGUGUCUACUCUUCACGCCGCCUUCUCAGAUCGGGCUGCAUGUCCCCACUCCGUGUUUACAUCUCGUUCCCGCUCCGGGUCUCGGUGACUGGCUCCUCAAGCCGGAGACGCGUGUGGUGCGGCGCGAUGCGGGCGCCAGCGCUGUGUGUGCUGGCGGUGCGCUGCCUUAGUGCGGGGGAAAGUGGAGGGAACGGUCCUGCGGGGCGUUCUGUCCAAGAAAAAGGACUGCAGCCUCGGGGAGCCAGGGUCCCCUCGCAGACGAGCUGCCAACGCCGCGGAGCCAUUUCUGUUCCACCCUAGGGGAGGAGUAGGGGGAUAUCUUUUAAAAGUUUAAUUGCAAAAUAAGUAGGUUAGUAAGGCCAUUUGUGGUUGCUGUUUCAGUAACUUCAGCAGUCAACGGAGAGAAGAGUGGAAACCUUACUGGAUGCGGACAGGAGAGCCAGUUACUGAAAGCAGAUAUAACGCGGAUCCUGUAAAGAGUGAGUUGCUUGUGUCGAGGGAGGGAGGGAGGGAACAGAGGGUGCGCGUGUGAAAGCUCCGCCCCCAGCCCUAGCUCCUCCUUCCCGCUUCAGCAGGUCCAGGCUCUGCGCCAGUGCAUCCUUCUCCAAGAGUGCGCUGCCUGGGCCCGCUUGCCCUGGAGUUAACUUCAGCAGUCAACGGAGAGAAGAGUGGAAACCUUACUGGAUGCGGACAGGAGAGCCAGUUACUGAAAGCAGAUAUAACGCGGAUCCUGUAAAGAGUGAAAGGAGAAGACCACUUUUAGUUGCCUCCCUGCUAGCACCCUGACUUGCUCUGCUUGAAUAAGAAUCCAAGGACACAAGCUAAGACAUUUGCACUGGGUUUAGAUCUACUGCGAUUCACAAAACACAAAAGAACUUUCAGUCAGAGGGUGACACAUAAUGAUUUUAGACAAAACUCAGUUUCUUCUGGUGGAAGCUAUUCAGAUUGUUUGGAGAGUGGGAGGAAAAAGGAGUGAAGCAUCGCUUAACAACAAAAGUAAUAAUGCAGGCAGAAUAUUAAAUGGAGAAGCCAGACUUUCAACACAUAGAAAAGAAAGCUAGUUCAGAAUGUUGAGAGACUUGGGAGCUGAUUGAUUGAAGGUGGCACUUAGAAGGUUGCCCUUUUUAAAGAUAAAGGCUGAUACUGUGACUCUGUCCCAGGGGACCUGAGUAAAGAACUCCUCAGAGAUGUGGGACCACUAUUCAGAACAAGAUUUGGAGAGCUGGGGCAGAGAAGAUUUUACCUUGGGGAUUUCUUCAGCUGCGAGUAGUAAAUUGGUUAUGCCUUAAUGAAUGAAGUUUGUCAAAUUUUAAGAUAGGAUGUUAUUACGCCUUUUAAAAGAAUGAGGUAGAGUAUAACAUCUGAUUUGGAGUUCUUUCCAGCAUUUUAAGGUCUUUAAAGAAAACAAAUUGGAGAAAAAUAAAUAAAUAUAGAUCAUGCUGUACAUAUA
rnacentral:lncRNA from 1 species